rnacentral:rRNA from 1 species
GUCACGAGUUUGAUCCUGGCUCAGGAUGAACGCUAGCGGCAGGCCUAACACAUGCAAGUCGAGGGGUAGAGUUCUUCGGGACUUGAGACCGGCGCACGGGUGCGUAACGCGUAUGCAAUCUACCUUAUACAGGGGAAUAGCCCAGAGAAAUUUGGAUUAAUGCCCAUAGUGUUAUCGAAUCGCAUGGUUUGAUAACUAAAGUUCCAACGGUAUAAGAUGAGCAUGCGUCCCAUUAGUUAGUUGGUAAGGUAACGGCUUACCAAGACAAUGAUGGGUAGGGGUCCUGAGAGGGAGAUCCCCCCACACUGGUACUGAGACACGGACCAGACUCCUACGGGAGGCAGCAGUGAGGAAUAUUGGUCAAUGGGCGCAAGCCUGAACCAGCCAUGCCGCGUGCAGGAAGACGGUCCUAUGGAUUGUAAACUGCUUUUAUACAGGAAGAAACCCUCCCACGUGUGGGAGCUUGACGGUACUGUAGGAAUAAGGAUCGGCUAACUCCGUG